UACGUAGGGGGCUAGCGUUGUCCGGAAUCAUUGGGCGUAAAGCGCGUGUAGGCGGUCCGGUAAGUCCGCUGUGAAAGUCGGGGGCUCAACCCUCGGAUGCCGGUGGAUACUGUCGGGCUUGAGUACGGAAGAGGCGAGUGGAAUUCCUGGUGGUAGCGGUGAAAUGCGCAGAGUAUCAGGAGGAACACCAAUUGCGAAGGCAGCUCGCUGGACGUUACUGACGCUGAGACGCGAAAGCGUGGGGAGCAAACAGG
rnacentral:rRNA from 1 species